GAUGAAGAACGCAGCGAAAUGCGAUAAGUAAUGUGAAUUGCAGAAUUCAGUGAAUCAUCGAAUCUUUGAACGCACAUUGCGCCCCCUGGUAUUCCGGGGGGCAUGCCUGUUCGAGCGUCAUUACAACCCUCAAGCUCUGCUUGGUGUUGGGCCCCGCCGCCCCGGCGGGCCCUAAAAUCAGUGGCGGUGCCGUCCGGCUCCGAGCGUAGUAAUUCUUCUCGCUCUGGAGGUCCGGGUGUGUGCUCGCCAGCAACCCCCAAUUUUUUUCAGGUUGACCUCGGAUCAGGUAGGGAUACCCGCUGAACUUAAGCAUAUCAUAAGCGGAGGA
rnacentral:misc_RNA from 1 species